rnacentral:rRNA from 1 species
CAGCCGCCGCGGUAAUACCGGCGGCCCGAGUGGCGGUCACUAUUAUUGGGCUUAAAGCGUCCGUAGCCGGGUUGGGAAGUCCUCCGGGAAAUCUGGCCGCUUAAAGGUCAGAAUGCCGGAGGAUACUCCCAGCCUAGGGAGCGGGAGAGGCCUAGGGGAUUCCCGGAGUAGGGGGGAAAUCCUAUAAUCCCGGGAGGACCACCUGUGGCGAAGGCGCUCGGCUGGAACGCGUCCGACGGGGAGGGACGAAGGCCAGGGGAGCAAACCGGAUUAGAUACCCGGGUAGUCCUGGCUGUAAACGAUGCGGACUUUGUGUCGGACAAGCUAUGAGCUUGUCCGGUGCCGGAGGGAAACCGUUAAGUCCGCCGCCUGGGGAGUACGGCCGCAAGGCUGAAACUUAAAGGAAUUGGCGGG